rnacentral:rRNA from 1 species
AGUGAACGCUGGCGGUAGGCCUAACACAUGCAAGUCGAACGGCAGCACAGUAAGAGCUUGCUCUUACGGGUGGCGAGUGGCGGACGGUUGAGGAAUACAUCGGAAUCUACUUUUUCGUGGGGGAUAACGCAGGGAAACUUACGCUAAUACCGCAUACGACCUACGGGUGAAAGCAGGGGAUCUUCUGACCUUGCGCGAGUGAAUGAGCCGAUGUCGGAUUAGCUAGUUGGCGGGGUAAAGGCGCACCAAGGCGACGAUCCGUAGCUGGUCUGAGAGGAUGAUCAGACACACUGGAACUGAGACACGGUCCAGACUCCUACGGGAGGCAGCAGUGGGGAAUAUUGGACAAUGGGCGCAAGCCUGAUCCAGCCAUACCGCGUGAGUGAAGAAGGCCUUCGGGUUGUAAAGCCCUUUUGUUGGGAAAGAAGAGCAGCAGGUUAAUACCCCGCUGUUCUGACGGUACCCAAAGAAUAAGCACCGGCUAACUUCGUG